rnacentral:sRNA from 1 species
UUGUUUUGUUUUUCUUCUUUCUCUU